rnacentral:rRNA from 1 species
GACGAACGCUGGCGGCGUGCUUAACACAUGCAAGUCGAACGCUGAAGCUCAGCUUUUGUUGGGUGGAUGAGUGGCGAACGGGUGAGUAACACGUGAGUAACCUGCCUCCUUCUUUGGGAUAACGCCCGGAAACGGGUGCUAAUACUGGAUAUUCACUGGUCUUCGCAUGGGGGUUGGUGGAAAGGGUUUUUCUGGUGGGGGAUGGGCUCGCGGCCUAUCAGCUUGUUGGUGGGGUGAUGGCCUACCAAGGCUUUGACGGGUAGCCGGCCUGAGAGGGUGACCGGUCACAUUGGGACUGAGAUACGGCCCAGACUCCUACGGGAGGCAGCAGUGGGGAAUAAUGCACAAUGGGCGCAAGCCUGAUGCAGCGACGCCGCGUGAGGGAUGGAGGCCUUCGGGUUGUGAACCUCUUUCGCUCAUGGUCAAGCCGCAACAAUGGUUGUGGUGGGGGUAGUGGGUAAAGAAGCGCCGGCUAACUACGUG